GAGGAAUAUUGGUCAAUGGACGAGAGUCUGAACCAGCCAAGUAGCGUGAAGGAUGACUGCCCUAUGGGUUGUAAACUUCUUUUAUACGGGAAUAAAGUGAGGCACGUGUGCCUUUUUGUAUGUACCGUAUGAAUAAGGAUCGGCUAACUCCGUGCCAGCAGCCGCGGUAAUACGGAGGAUCCGAGCGUUAUCCGGAUUUAUUGGGUUUAAAGGGAGCGUAGGCGGACGCUUAAGUCAGUUGUGAAAGUUUGCGGCUCAACCGUAAAAUUGCAGUUGAUACUGGGUGUCUUGAGUACAGUAGAGGCAGGCGGAAUUCGUGGUGUAGCGGUGAAAUGCUUAGAUAUCACGAAGAACUCCGAUUGCGAAGGCAGCUUGCUGGACUGUAACUGACGCUGAUGCUCGAAAGUGUGGGUAUCAAACAGGAUUAGAUACCCUGGUAGUCCACACAGUAAACGAUGAAUACUCGCUGUUUGCGAUAUACAGUAAGCGGCCAAGCGAAAGCGUUAAGUAUUCCACCUGGGGAGUACGCCGGCAACGGUGAAACUCAAAGGAAUUGACGGGGGCCCGCACAAGCGGAGGAACAUGUGGUUUAAUUCGAUGAUACGCGAGGAACCUUACCCGGGCUUGAAUUGCAACUGAAUGAUGUGGAGACAUGUCAGCCGCAAGGCAGUUGUGAAGGUGCUGCAUGGUUGUCGUCAGCUCGUGCCGUGAGGUGUCGGCUUAAGUGCCAUAACGAGCGCAACCCUUAUCGAUAGUUACUAGCAGGUCAUGCUGAGGACUCUAUUGAGACUGCCGUCGUAAGAUGUGAGGAAGGUGGGGAUGACGUCAAAUCAGCACGGCCCUUACGUCCGGGGCUACACACGUGUUACAAUGGGGGGUACAGAAGGCAGCUACACGGCGACGUGGUGCUAAUCCCGAAAGCCUCUCUCAGUUCGGAUUGGAGUCUGCAACCCGACUCCAUGAAGCUGGAUUCGCUAGUAAUCGCGCAUCAGCCACGGCGCGGUGAAUACGUUCCCG
rnacentral:rRNA from 1 species